AGUAAUGAUCAGUAGCAAUCAGUAGCAAUCAGUAGCAAUCAGUAGCGAUCAGUAGCAAUCAGUAGAGACCAGUAGCAAUCAGUAGAGAUCAGCAGCGAUCAGUAGCGAUCAGUAGCAAUCAGUAGCGAUCAGUAGCAAUCAGUAGCAAUCAGUAGAGAUCAGUAGCAAUCAGUAGCGAUCAGUAGCAAUCAGUAAUGAUCAGUAGCAAUCAGCAGCAAUCAGCAGCGAUCAGUAGCGAUCAGUAGCAAUCAGUAGCAAUCAGUAGCAAUCAGUAAUGAUCAGUAAUGAUCAGUAGCAAUCAACAGCAGUCAUUAGAGAUCAGUAGUGAUCAGCAGCAGCACUGAAAACGCGUGAGCGGACUAACAAGUCGAAUAUGCCCGUUAUCCCAGCCGCACGCAGGCGGGUGUCGGAACUCUAGUGCACCAGCGGCAGCGUGCCCGAGUUCGGAUGUGGAGUCGUCACCGGCUGCAGGGCUGGCGACGCCGGUGAUAUCACCGCCGGAAACGCCAUAGAGACGCACACGCCGCAGCGCGCUGUCCGAUGCUACGGACUUGUCAGAGAUUCGAAAAGUCCUCGACGAUGUCCGGUUGGUGACGGCGUCAGCGUCGCGUCCACGAACACUUUCUGGAACGCAAGCGCUCGGAUCGUCAUCUGCGGAUGCAGCGAGCCGCACUGGACCUGGUGUGCGCACACGCUCCUCGAGUACGUCAGCUGUUGGUUCGCUUAGCGGUACCAACACCAGGCAUGAGCCUGCCGAGGAUAUAGAAAAAGUGGCUCGGACGGCUGCGACACGUCGUCUCGCUGGGCUUGUAGAUGCGCUGGAUCGUUCCCCGACUUGGACUGAGUGGGAAGCGCAGGCUGUACCCGCCUCAUCCUGUGAACGUCCUGCAACAGGGCUUCGUGAUGGUAUAUCUCGGCGUCUGUUUGGAACCGAGAGCGGCACCAUAGGACGCAGCGUGUGCCACCAAGCACGUCGCUUCCGUCGUCGCAGUACGCAAGUUAUGGCUGCGGGCUGCCGUCCAGAACAUGACAAGCUGAUCCUCUCAAGUGAUGGAUUGCUUGGUGGUCUCGCUGUGCGAUGGCAUUCGUUUGGUUGCACAUAUUCGCUCGAUUGGUCCGGUAAGAAGUAGGCCCGUGUGGCGGCAUGUCAAGACAGUAUAGAUGAGGCAAGAUACGAAUCUUCUCCCGUCGGGAAAGCGCGUAUACCCGACUCCAGGGAAGCUGAUCGUUGUCGCCCACAUGGGUGUUCCAGGAACGGCUACCGCUCCAGCUUGAGGCUGCGCUCAUGGCCAUGUCGCACGAGUUAUUUUCGGUGCUUUGAUUAGACCCGCUCAACCGACUCGUCCGAAAUGCAACUGCAGCGAAAUUUCGAAUUCGGAGGGGUCUUCUGCUUGUAGCACAGAGCAAAUGCGAAUCCGCCUAGACUCGGUCUUGUCUGCGCUGCAACGCAUGUUCUGUUGUUGUCGUUUUGGGGGCUGCAGGAUCAUUUAGUCGACCAAGAGGGUCUCCGCUUGCGCGACGGGUGUCGGUACCUGAGACAGACGAUUUGCCGUAGUCGCAUGCAAGCACAGCGGUAUCGAGUGCUAGGCUUUUGUUCGAGGAAACGGAACCUACGAUUUCACAAGGUAAACCCAGGCACGUCACUCGCUCGGCGAGUAGUGCAGCAGAGCUGUGUCAGCACUAUGCAUAGGAGUCGGCAGCGCUUCCACAGCGCAUGACUUGCGAACAGCAGAAAAUCGACAUACAGGGACUUUUGUGCAGACGUGUCGUUUCGCAGCAACAAGGUGCUAUGCGCUUAGCAAGAAAGCUUCCC